GACAAACAGAGGGAAAUUAGCAGAAAAAAAAUUAAAAAAACAAACAGGCUGGGUCAGGAAUGAGAAAAUUUUCAUUUCCAUCAUUUCCAGAUGGAAUUUUUAUCAGGAAUAUCCAUUUAAUCCCUGAAAUUUUCCACUUCCACCUCUAAAAAAAUCAGAUAUUUCCAGAGGAAAUUUCUUCUCCAUGUUACCCAGAGCUCAGGCUGGGUUAAAAUUGGGAAAAUUCUUUUUUUCCAUCAUUUCCAGAUUAUUUUUUUUAUCAGGAAUGUCCAUUUAUGGGCUCUAUAAUCACUGAAAUUCCUCUAAAAAUCAGAGAUUCCUACAGGAAAUUUCUUCCCUCUGAAUUCCUGUGUUACCCAGAGCUCAGGCUGGGUCAGGAAUGGGAAAUUUCUCAUUUUUGUCAUUUCCAGAUGAUUUUUUUAUCAGGAAUAUUAAUUUAUGGACUCCAUAAAAAUCCCUGAAAUCUUCAAAUUCUAUAUCUAAAAAUCAGAGAUUUCCACAGGAAAUUUCUUCCCUGUGUUACCCAGAGCUCAGGCUGGGUUAGAAUUGGGAAAAUUCUUUUUUCCAUCAUUUCCAGAUUAUUUUUUUCAUCAAGAAUGUCCAUUUAUGGGCUCCAUAAUCACUGAAAUCUUUC